rnacentral:rRNA from 1 species
AGUGAACGCUGGCGGUAGGCCUAACACAUGCAAGUCGAACGGCAGCACAGUAAGAGCUUGCUCUUACGGUUGGCGAGUGGCGGACGGGUGAGGAAUACAUCGGAAUCUACUUUUUCGGGGGGGAUAACGUAGGGAAACUUAUGCUAAUACCUCAUACGACCUACGGGUUAAAGCAGGGGAUCUUCGGACCUUUCGCGAUUGAAUGAGCCGAUGUCGGAUUAGCUAGUUGGCAGGGUAAGGGCCCACCAAGGCAACGACGCGUAGCUGGUCUGAGAGGAUGAUCAGCCACACUGGAACUGAGACACGGUCCAGACUCCUACGGGAGGCAGCAGUGGGGAAUAUUGGACAAUGGGCGAAAGCCUGAUCCAGCAAUGCCGCGUGGGUGAAGAAGGCCUUCGGGUUGUAAAGCCCUUUUGUUGGGAAAGAAAAGCAGCAGGUUAAUACCCCGCUGUUCUGACGGUACCCAAAGAGUAAGCACCGGCUAACUUCGUG